rnacentral:rRNA from 1 species
UAAGGAAUAUUGGUCAAUGGACGCAAGUCUGAACCAGCCAUGCCGCGUGAAGGAUGAAGGUCCUCUGGAUUGUAAACUUCUUUUAUCUGGGACGAAAACGGGAUUUUUAUCUCAAUUGACGGUACCAGAGGAAUAAGCACCGGCUAACUCCGUGCCAGCAGCCGCGGUAAUACGGAGGGUGCGAGCGUUAUCCGGAUUUACUGGGUUUAAAGGGUGCGUAGGUGGGCUUAUAAGUCAGUGGUGAAAUCUCCGAGCUUAACUUGGAAACUGCCGUCGAUACUAUAGGUCUUGAAUUAUCUGGAGGUAAGCGGAAUAUGUCAUGUAGCGGUGAAAUGCUUAGAUAUGACAUAGAACACCAAUUGCGAAGGCAGCUUACUACAUAUAAAUUGACGCUGAGGCACGAAAGCGUGGGGAUCAAGCA